rnacentral:rRNA from 1 species
UGCAAGUCGAACGGUAACAUUGGUGCUUGCACCAGAUGACGAGUGGCGCACGGGUGCGUAACGCGUAUGCAACCUACCUUUUACUAGAGUAUAGCCCAGAGAAAUUUGGAUUAAUCCUCUAUAAUAUCUUUUAAUUUCAUGAUUAUUAGAUUAAAGUUUUAAUGGUAAAAGAUGGGCAUGCGUCCUAUUAGUUUGUAGGUGAGGUAACGGCUCACCUAGACUACGAUAGGUAGGGGCCCUGAGAGGGGGAUCCCCCACACUGGUACUGAGACACGGACCAGACUCCUACGGGAGGCAGCAGUAAGGAAUAUUGGACAAUGGACGAAAGUCUGAUCCAGCCAUGCCGCGUGCAGGAUGAAAGCCCUAUGGGUUGUAAACUGCUUUUAUACAGGAAGAAAAACUUCGACGUGUCGGAGCUUGACGGUACUGUAAGAAUAAGGAUCGGCUAACUCCGUGCCAGCAGCCGCGGUAAUACGGAGGAUCCAAGCGUUAUCCGGAAUCAUUGGGUUUAAAGGGUCCGCAGGCGGUCUUUUAAGUCAGAGGUGAAAGCCUACAGCUCAACUGUAGAACGGCCUUUGAUACUGAAAGACUUGAGUUAUUGUGAAGUGGUUAGAAUGUGUGGUGUAGCGGUGAAAUGCAUAGAUAUCACACAGAAUACCGAUNGCGAAGGCAGAUCACUAACAAUAUACUGACGCUCAUGGACGAAAGCGUGGGGAGCGAACAGGAUUAGAUACCCUGGUAGUCCACGCCGUAAACGAUGGAUACUAGCUGUUCGUCUAACAUUGGUUAGAUGAGUGGCUAAGCGAAAGUGAUAAGUAUCCCACCUGGGGAGUACGGUCGCAAGACUGAAACUCAAAGGAAUUGACGGGGGCCCGCA